rnacentral:rRNA from 1 species
UCCUACGGGACGCAGCAGUAGGGAAUUUUCGUCAAUGGGCGCAAGCCUGAACGAGCAAUGCCGCGUGAACGAGGAAGGUCUUCGGAUCGUAAAGUUCUGUUGAAGGGGAAAAAGAGCGGAGAGAGGAAAUGGUCUCCGAUUGAUAUUACCCUUCGAGGAAGUCACGGCUAACUACGUGCCAGCAGCCGCGGUAAUACGUAGGUGGCAAGCGUUGUCCGGAUUUAUUGGGCGUAAAGCGAGUGCAGGCGGUUCAAUAAUUCUGAUGUGUAAGACUUCGGCUCUAACGGAGA